UCUCAUAUAUAACAUUCCCUUCCCGUGCUGUACCAGCUCCACCCUGGCCCCAGUGAGAACAGCUAGAUGUGACAGGCCUGGUGCGGUCAGCGUUGCCUCUUCUGCCUUCCUGCCAAUCAGUAUGGGAACGGACCUGCAGCAGCAUUGAUGAUGUGGAUAAACAUCUGAGUUUAAGCUGUUUUAGGGGGACUGUGGAAGAUGGAGAACUACUGGCCACGUUGAACGGUUUCAUGUUCACAACCACUGCAAAAUGAAGGGGAUAAGAGCCCUCCACUGAGUUUCACUCAGGAUUUCAUACCCUAAGGCAGGCCAGGGAGGCUGGACUGAACUACUCCAAGUGGAAUGAGGUAGGAGCUGUAUUGCGAGGGACACAUAUCAAAUUAGAGAGCAUGUGUUAAUUCUGCAGCUAAGAUAUGUCCCUGGGAAAAAAUCACUAGUGACCAGAUUUUGCUUUUUACUUGUGCAGCUUCUCUGCUACAGGGUUACUGUAUAAAUAGCAGAAUCCUGGAAAAUCUAUGGAGAAAAAUUUUUGUUGAUUUGACUUGAAAGAAUACUUCGAACCUGGCCAUGCAACAAUGUACCCUAAUCUUCAUGUUUUAGUCCAAAGCAUGUUGGGUCUAUUUUCUUGAAAAAUAUAUUUAUUUACAACAAUUUAAAGUAAGUGAAGGAGGGUGUAAAACGUGACUGCUCUCAUGUGGUAGUGUUUCACACCCACAGGUGUAACAGGUGCAAGUGACUAUACAAGAUGCAGGACAAGAAAAAUCCAGGCCAGUUGUUAGGUCCAAGCCAUGACUUUUGUCAAGAUUCUUGAGCUUGUCUACCAUUGAAAAUACUAAUUGGUGGAAGUGUACAAUAAACCCCUCAGUGGAAACUCAGAUUAUAUUAGCAAAACGCUUUUGCAAAACAGCCUUUUUGUAAAUCUUCCAUGGACAACAGAGACAAUGAGUUUGGUCUGGGGACCUGAGUGGUGACCCAUACUUAAAAUAAUAUUAAAAUAAUUAAAAUAAUUAUAUAUAUAUAUAUUAUAUAUAUAUAUUUUAAGAUUAAAAUAAUCUUAAAAUAAGAUUAAAAUAAUUUUCUGUGAGGCCAUGAAUGAAUCUGCUACUAGGUUUCUCCUAUAGCCACACAUCGUGUAAAGAGUGCAGGUUUUACUGUCAUUUUUCAAACAUGGAAGAUAGAUAAUGUGUAGAUAAUGUUUGCAAACAUUGCUCCUUUGUGAGUGUGGCUGUACAUUGAAAUAAAUAAGCUACAAUAGCAAAGGGUUAGGAGUUUUACCCUUUGACAGCAUGGGUUUUCAACUCCUAGCCAGCAAAGCUAUACCAGCAAAACCUUUCAGUGGAAACCAAAACACUUUUGCUUAGCCUGUGUAGACAAGACAUCAGAGAAAGGCUGCAAUCUUUUGAUCAGCAGUAUAGCAGCCUGAAAGUUCACAAGGUGAGAAGUGCUUCUCACCAAGAAUAUACACUGCAAACUGUAUUUAGAAAUAGCAUUUUUAAUUAAAAGCAGCAUUUCUGAUCCUGUUGGCAGUAGCUAUGGGGCAUAAGUGAGGAUAUCUUUUCUGACAGGAGAUGUUUGGGAUCUUGAUGUAAGAGACUGUAAACCAGUCUCAAGCCUGCUUGAAUAAUCAAAUUAAGAACUUUUCUUCUUAGGCAUACAUUUCUGAAGUGGCACAUGCAGGUUUGGCACAGAGCACUCGUUAUUACCAAUAACAGAGCUGACAUCAAAGACUUUCCUAUGUUAUGGAAAUUUGUAAAGAUGCAAAUACAGAACCUUCAUGUA